UGCGUACUCACUCAAUUGCCUAGUGAAUUACUAACACAUGCUUGGUUUUUGGACCACCUUAGUCAUAUCCAAACCCACCUCCUGAUUCAAUUUAAUAUCCCAUUGUAUUAAUCUUCAUAGAGCACUAACUGCUGUUAAACUAUUCAUUUACUAGCACACACGUGCCAUCCCAGUAUAUAACAUAGUUCCUCAUGUAUCAAGAGGUAUUUCAUGACAAAGAACCAGCAACUCCACGGAGGGCAGGAGAGCUGCACUGCCAUGUAGCUAUGGUCUAGGAUGUACAUCCUUAAGUCUUACCUCUCGAGAACGCCUCAGCAAAUUUCAGGGGAGCCCUGUCCUCCUCGGACCACAACGUACUGAGUCACAGCAGUCCCUGGAGCUUCUCCUAGCAGUUUGCAAACUGAAGCCAGCGAGCUGUGUCAUACAAAGCUGAGAGAUCUACUGUGAAAAUAUCUACCUCUUCAUUCUCUAUUCAUCCAUCUGACCUAUGAUAAUGCUGAUGUACCUUUAAGUGUUUGUACAGUUUCUUCCAGUUCCUGUAACUUUGGGAUUGCUUUCCUGGUGUGGGAGAUUCCCUCAGAGCCAACACAGUCCAUUCAUCACCCCGGUUGCGUAGUCACAACCACAGGGUGCAUGCCAGAGGGGGAGAAUCAGGGUUGGACUGCUCCUGUGCCCUGACACACAGCGUCAUAUUGCUUAGAUACCAGCCACACUUCAGAUUUGCCCUACAGCAACCAGACCCACUGCAAGGAAAGCAAAGGAGUAACUCUGGAUUCCCUGCUACUCCCCUCAACUGCGGCUGAUACAUCCUGCAUGCAAAAGAGAAAUCUGUGCAAUGUCUUGGGCUCCUCCAUAAAAGAUAUGGUAGAGGUAUAAAAUUUUAUUAUUACCACCUAUGGCCUUGCAGGUUUUCUCUGUUUUCUCUUCCCUACGGGACUGCAAGCUGUUGCUCCUGCAGAAACUCCAGUCCCUCCAGAGUGGGCUGAUCCAGAAGGAGGUGCUGCGUUUCAGCUUGUUCUGAGAGACAUCACUGCUGUAUCUUGACUUGUUGGAGUUAUAGGAGAAGGACUGUGAUUCUUUUAUCUGGACACGCCUGGGAGGACUACCCGUGAAAUUGCAGUCACUAUUAUAGGUGGAAUGUAUGCACAGUGGCUUCUUUUCUUUCCUCCUCAAAACCCCUUUUUCAUCACCUUCAGAGAAUCCCCAGUUCACAUAACCACCUUCAGUUUCUUCCCUGUCAUCACAUGAGGGUGUCGCAUUCUCACAGAGAGCUGGCAAUGGCUGGAGACCUAUAGGACAAUCAGUCACUACACCAUCAGUAUUUUCUCUUGGCAAAUGAGUAACAAAGUCGCUCUGACUCCAUCGAUAAUCUUCUGGCUCUUUUCCAUUGAGAUGGACCCUCUUCAAAUCUUGCUGUGCUUCAAUGCUGCUUUGCAGCUUGUCCCCUAAUGUGACUUCCCUGUAUUUGUCAGGAGCACUUGAAAAGGACAAAUUCAAGCUGACAUCCUCAGAGAAAGACCCUCCUUGAUGGUCAGGAGGAACCAGCAAAAAUUGUCCAUAUCUAGGAGUGGACUUAGUCUCAGAAGAUACCCCUGAAGUGAGCGUGUCGCUUUCUAUUUCUAUCCUUGGAGAGCUGUCUUCCACCGCCUUCCUAUCCUCAGUCCUCAAAACAUGGCCUCGACACUCUGAUGACCACUGACUCCUCACCAAGCUCCGCAAGAGGGACGGUGGCAUGCUGUAGUAAUUGUACUUCUUAUCAUGCAAACCCUCCAGACUGCUCAGAGUCUUGGAAUAGAGCGCGUUGCUCCAGCUAUGGGGGAGCUUCCUACAGGCUCGAUGUUUUCUGUCAGCCAGCAAGGCUUCUUCCACCUGCAAGGUGUCUACAGCUGAAAUCACUUUCAGGAUGUCCACAGUCAAGGCAGACAGGUCUUGCAAAUGUCCUAGCUGGCUGUCCAGGGAAAUUAAAGAUUCCUUGAUAUAAAAUACCUUCUCAUGUACUUCUUUUAGCUGCAAAAACAUCUCCUCCACUCUAGGUGGAAAAAGAAAAAAUUAUUAAAAUAUCAAAACAGAGAUUUUAAUUUCUGGUCGCCAGGUGAUGAAGGAAGCCAUUAACACAAUUGAAAAAAAAUCUGUAAUUAAACAGUCCUUCAUUUUUUUUACAUGACUUCCAUUCUCAUAAACAUCUACAUUUGACAAAACCAAUCCAGACUCUCAAUCUGUCAUUCAGAUUUACUGAGCUAAAAACCCAUGACUUUUAAAUAGACAGGCUUUUUGCUCAGGGAGCAUCUAUUUUUAAAAUUACCAUUUUCCUACUAAUCCCCACACUUUGCCAUAUAAUUACUAAACCUUGGGUAACAUGACACAGCUUUGGAAAUGAGAAGUGUAUUGCUAAUCAGUCAGUCAUCCUGCAUUUCUACAUUUCUUGUGCAAGAAUGAGAAGGAUGAGGCUCAAGUGAGCCUACAGAUACUCUUCCAUUUCUCAAAUACUAGAGUCUGCUGGGAAAAGAGCCUUCCCAACGACCUCUUUUGCCUCUUGAAUAGAUUUUGUAUGUCCAAUGCCACCAGUUAUCUUCAAGUAAAAUUCAAUUGCCAAACAAGCAGAACCUUUUCAAUGGUCUUCAAAUCCCCAGUGACCACUGUGAGAACUCAGCCUGGAAAAACUGAAUGAUUUCAUUUUAACCAAAUCAUUAUCUUCACAUCUCCUGAAGCUACUCUCUCUGGUACUUUGUCACUAAGAUAGUGAUAACCUGGCUGCAGGCAAUAUGCCAGAAGUGUUCCUUUCCUUUGUCACUGAGUAACUAAACAGUGUAAUAUUUAACCAAUGGCUGAAUAAAAUCAAAUACCCAU